rnacentral:rRNA from 1 species
AGGACGAACGCUGGCGGCGUGCCUAACACAUGCAAGUCGAACGAGGUCCAACCGGUGGCAACACUGGUGAAGACCGAGUGGCGAACGGGUGAGUAACACGUGAGCAACCUGCCUCGAAGACUGGGAUAACCCCGGGAAACCGGAGCUAAUACCGGAUACCCCCACCGGGUCGCAUGGCCUGGUGAGGAAAUGGAUUCCGCUUUGAGAGGGGCUCGCGGCCUAUCAGCUUGAUGGUGGGGUAAUGGCCUACCAUGGCACCGACGGGUAGCUGGUCUGAGAGGACGAUCAGCCACACUGGGACUGAGACACGGCCCAGACUCCUACGGGAGGCAGCAGUGGGGAAUCUUGCGCAAUGGGCGAAAGCCUGACGCAGCAACGCCGCGUGUGGGACGAAGGCCUUCUGGGUUGUAAACCACUUUCAGCAGGGACGAUUGUGACGGUACCUGCAGAAGAGCCCGGCAACUACGUGCCAGCAGCCGCGGU